UAUUAUUGUUGUUAAUCUCUUACUGUGCCUGAUUCAUAAAUUAAACUUUAUCAUAGGCAUCAAUGUAUAGGAAAAAACAUGGUAUAUACAGGGUUUGGGACUGCCAAGGCGCCAGACAUCCACAGAGGGUCUUGAGACGCGUCCCCUGUGAGAAGGGGGGCCUACUGCAUCUUUCCUCCUUCCCCGAGAGUGUCUUCUUCCAGCCGGCAAGGAGUUGAGUGAAAAGCCUGGGGCUCCCAGGUCCCACUGGACUGAGGUCUGAAGAACGAGGGCCACGGGGAGUGCAAACCCUGCAGAAAGCGAUGCACCCCCAGAACGAAUCCACCCUGCUGAGGCCUGAUUGACGUGCAGUCGACGCACCCGUGGUAGCACAGAGGCCAGCGAGCCUUGACAACGGCCGGACCUGUGUGACCAGCACUGAAACCAACACUCAGAACGCGUCUGUCACCCAGGGAGCCCCCGGGCCCUUUGCGGGGGAUCCUGCUCGUUCUCGUGGCCCCAGGCAGCUGAUGGCGUGCUUGCUGUCACUGCAGAUUAGUUUGCAUUUUCUAGAAUCUCCUCCGAAUGGGUCCUGCGGCGUGUGCUCUCCAUUCGUCUGCUUCUUCCCUCAGCAUUAUUAGGUAGAGGCUCGUCCAGGUGCCGGUGUAUCUCUAGUUCACCCUUUCUACUGCUGAGUAGCGAUCCGUGGUGUGGACGGACCAGAGUUGUUUAUUCACUCACCUGUUGACAGACUCUUAAGUCGCCUCCAGUUUGGGGCUGUUGCAAACGGUGCUGCUAUGGACAUUUGUGCGUGAGUCUUUGUGUGGACAUAUUUUGUUUCUCUUGGGUAAUAACGAUGGAAGCCAGCGGCGGCGUCAUACGGCAUGAUAGCUAUUAACUCGAUAAGAAGCUGCCAGCGAUUUCCCAAAGUGCCUGCCCCAGUUACGUUCCCACCCAGCGUGUGAGCGUUCCGGUUGCUCCGCAUCCUCCCCAGCACUGGUGGUGUCGGUCUUCUAAAUGUUAGCCAUUCUGAUAGGUGGUAGUGGUGUGUUACUGUGAUUUUAUUUUGCAUUAUCCUGUGACUAGUGACCUUUCACAUCUUUUUAUGUGCUUAUUGGCCUUUCUACUUUUCAACUUUAUUUAAAUCUUUGCCCAUAUUUAACUGGGUUUUUCAAUUCCUAUUAUUGAGUUGUAGGAGUUCUUUAUAUAUUCUGCAUAUGUUUCUUUGUCACAUGUGUGUGUGUGUAUAUAAUAAAUAUGUACAUAUGUGCACCUAUAGUGUAUACAUGUACAUACACAUGUAUGUGAUGUAGAUAAAUGAACACACGCACAUACACAUAUAUAUACAUGUAUGCAUGUGUGCACACACACACACACGGAAUAUGGCCCAUCUGUGGCUUGCCUUUCACUUGAAGAGUGAAGUUGAAGAUUUUAAUUUUUAUGAAGUCCACCUUAUCAUUUUCUCUUUUAUGGUUAGUGCUUCUUGUUAUUGCUUCAUUGAUCUCCUCCAUCAAUGUCCGGGAUACCCCCUAUGGCCCUCUCUGGAAGUUUUGUACGUCUAGCUUCUAUGUCUAAAUCUAUGAUCCCCUUUGGGGUCAUUUUCGCCUAGGAUUUGGGAUAGCACCUGAGGUUUAUUUUUUCUCUGUAGAUGUCCAGUUGUUCCAGCACCAUUUAUUGAAAAGAUUGUCCUUUGUCCCCAUUGAAUUAAUUUGGCACAUUUGUCAGAAAUCAAGUCACAUAAAUGUAAGGGCCUACCCCUGGACCCUGUUCUGUUCUGUUGAUGUUUAUGUCUAUCUGCUGGCUAUGCCAUACUGUUGAUUAUUUUUCUUAUUAUAUUAAGUCUUGAUGAAAUUGGGUAAUAUAAGUCUUCCAAUUUUGUUCUUCUUUCUCUAAAUUAAUUUUGCUUUUCUAGGUCCUUUGCAUUUCCGUAGAAAUUUUAGACUCGGCUCGUCAAUUUCUGCAAAUUGUAUUGAACCUACAUAUUUGUGUAGAAUUGGUAUUAUUUCUUCCUUAAAUGUUUAAUGGAAUUCAUCAGUGAAGGCAUUUGGAGCUGGAAUCACUCUGUGGGAAGAUUUUAAGUUACAAAUUCAAUUUCUUUAAGAAACUUAGAGCUAUGCAGAUUCCCUAAGUCAUCUGGAUGAGAUUUAAGUUUGUGUCUUUCAAGGCGUCCAUCCAUUCCAUCGGAGUUGUUGGCUUUGUUUCUCUGACAUUCACCACAUUCUCUUAGUAGCAUUUGUAGUAAUGUCUGCAGCAUCUGUAGUAAUGUCUUCUGUUUCACCGAGACUCAUUUUAUUUCCAGUGUGUGGCUCAUCCUGGUGGAAGCUCCGUGUGCCCUGGAGAAGAGUGUGCGUUCCCAUUGUCAAGUGGCCUAUUCUACAAACAUCAUUCAGGUCAUGUUGGGCGACACUGUCUUUUCUGUGAUCUUUUCCUCUUCAUUCCUGAGAAAGGAGUGUUGAGAUCACCGGUUAUACUUGUGGAUUUGUCUGUCUCAUGCAUUAUCUCAGUUUCAUCUUCACGUAUUCUGAAACUCUCUCUUAUCAGGCACACACAUUUUUAGGAUUGCUAAGUCUUGAGGAAUUGACCCUUUUAUCACUGUGAACCGUCCCUCAUUGUCUGUUAGUCUUCCGUGUCUGAAGUCUCCUUUGAUAGUAACAUAGCCUUUCUAGCUUUCUUGUGGGCAGUGGUUGCAUGGCAUAUCUUUCACCCUUUUCACACCGUUAGCCUGUUGUACAUGUAAGGUGGGUUCCUUGUAGAUGGCAUGUAGUUGGAUCUUGGAUUUUCAUCCAGUCCAGCCAUCUCUGCUUUUUAAUGGUGUUUGUCCAUUUAACAUCUAACGUGCUUAAUGACACGGUUGAGAUUGGUCUGCCAUCUUGUUCCUCCUUAUUCCCAAUUUGUCUCUCUCUUCUUUGUUCCUUGUCCUCUUUGCAUGUCUUCUUCUGGGUUGACUGUGUUUGAAUUACUCCGUUUUGUCCCCAGGUAGAGGGGGGUGUGGCACACAUCCCCUCUGUCCACUUCCCACUGGACACGCGGCCACACCUCACAUCAGAGAGGCAGUGGGCUUCAAUGAGGCUGCUCACUUUUACCGUAUUUUGUAGAGCAGUGUUCAUAUAAGAUUUAUUUUUAUGAUAACAACAACAAUAACAACAAAAGUUUAAAAACCACGAACUAAGACAACAGCUUAACUGAUGGAUGUGGCAAUGAAGACUUAGUGAGGAUGGAUAACAGCGGCACGUGCCCCAGGCUCUCCGAGGACCAGCGAGGGCAGGCAUGGGCGGAACGUGGAGCAGGCAACACCAGGCAACGUGAGCUGCUAUUGUUAGUCAUUAUGAAGCUUUUCCCUGACGUUUGCAGCCUGGCUGUGUAUCAGCUCCUGCCAGGCAGGGAUGGCAUGGCCCGGGUCCUCGGGCUGGGGGUUGGCGUUUCAGCCUGGGGUCAGCUGAGCCUGGCUCCCAGCCCUGCUCUCUGGAUGCACCUGCUGUCCGUCUCCUCCGACUGGGCAAUCAGAAGACCCCAAAGAGCAAGUAGGGGAAAGAGGGGACUCUGGAGUCAGGCCAGCUGUCUAAAUGGGCACAGGGGCAGCCUUCCCUAUGCAUGGGCCACUCUCGCCUCCAAGAGGCAGAGGCUCCCGUGGGCAUGCCAGGGCCAGCCAGGGUCUCCCUGUCAGAGUCAGCCCUGGCCCUGGGCCCCUUCUGACAGCGAGCUGGCUCAAAGGCUCGGCUUUCGAGUGGGACUCCCCUGGUGGAGAUUGAUAGCUGGAUGGCGGGGAUAGGGGCCAAGCUGGAAGAGCCUGGAGCCCAGCUGCCCACCAUCCGGGAGCCCUCUAGACACCUGGGGCCACUGGGGGUUCUGCCCACCCUCUCCCGUGCCGGGAGUUGCAGGCAGGCUGCACUGUGGCAUUCUGGGCUGGUGCAUUUAAGACAUUUAAUGGGCGAGUUCCCUCUCCACAUGGGGUAUAAUUAAUUUUCCUGAAAUAGGCAUGACAGCCUGGUCGUCUUUGCCUGUCUGAGUCAGGCGCUGAUUAUUGCCUCUCACGGGCACGGCGUGCAGCGGCCACCGGGAGCUCAGAGCGCCCGCGGCUCCCCACCCUGCUGAGCGGGUGCAGGAGAGAGGUCAGGGGAGGCCAUGGGGCCUCUUGUGGCAGGUCACUUGGGCUGGUGGCCAGUGCGGGUGGGGGCAGUAAGCUUGGAUGCAGCCAUGGAGCUGCCCUCUGUGAACAGAGAGCAAAGCCGGGUCCUGAAGGGGGAAGGGGACACUCCCCUGCACGUAUGCCAGCAAUGGAGGCAGGAGAAAGACCCCCGGGACCAGGUGACGUCAGGGCUGGUCACCGCCUUGGGCUAACCACGGUCAGUAGUGCGUAGUCAGAGCAGCAUGCAAGGAGGGGUGCAGGCAGAGCUGGCAUUCGAGACCCCUGUGCUGAGGUGUUGGGGGGUCACCUCUCCCCUCUCCUGGGCCCUUGGUGGCAGCUGGCCCCGAGCAGCGCCUGCAGAGGGCUCGGGCCUGCCUGGGAGGGAGUGGCCAUCCUGGCGCAGGGAUGGGUGCCGGCAUGGAGGGUGGGUAUGCCAUGUCUCCAGCUGUGGGAGAUGUUGGGCUCGGGCCCCUUCAGAGCAGGGCGGCCCUCUCCAAGGGAGCCCAGGGAGCCUGGUUUUCCCUCCCUCCAUUCCUGGGCUCCUCCUCCGAGCUCAGAGGCCUGGAGCCUCAUCCACUGGGGAGGCUGGAGGCAAAGAGACCUUGUCCCCACAGGGUCGCAGAUGGGGACACUGAGGCCUCAAGGGAUAACCUUGGAGCGCACAAAGCUGACGUCCUGUGGCUGCGCUGGAGCCACAGGCCUGGCAGCUGGCAGGAGGGUCCAGGCAGAGCGUGGGACCCCUGCCCAUCUUCCUUCCCUCUGCUGGGGGACCGAGGUUCUGUGGCCGGAUAACAGCCCGCCCCGAGGGCUCGCUCAGCCCUGGUCCUCUACGCAAGCUCUCUGGUUGUCUCCCGGUCAGCACACCCCGUGGAUGGAGAAACUGAAGGUGACACCCCUUGUCCCAGAACACAUUGGCAGUAAAUGGUGGUGGGUCAUCAUACCCGGUGGCCUGACCCCAGAGCCAACUGCAAAGUGACGGAACUCUUUAAGCCUCCGAGGUAGACCCCCUUUCUCUUUGCCAUCACUGCCCUGUGGGGCCCCUCCCCACAGCCGGGAGACCUUGCCUAAGAGCAGGCAUGCAGUCAGUGGCCGGAACCCCAGGGGGAAGCGAGUCCCUGCAUCUGACGAGACUUCCACAGGCACCUUCUUUGUAAGAAGGAGGGUGCGUGGGCUGCAUUGGGUCCCCCAAGAUGAUGUGUUGAAGUCCCAAACCCGGUGCUUGUGAGUGUGACCUUAUCUGGAAGCUGGGUUUUUGCAGAUGUCAUCAAGUUAAGCUGAGGUCAGCAGGACAGGCCCCAAAUCCGAUAGGACUGGAGUCCUUGUAAGGAGAGGGAGUUCUGGAUAUACGGAGAGGGGAGAAGGACGCGUGAGGACUGUGAAGGUGGAGGCAGAGAGUGGCUGCCACAAGCCAAGGAGCGCCUGGGGCCUCCAGAAGCUGCAGAGCUGGGAGAGGCAGGAAGGACCCUCCCCUGGAGCCUCUGGAGGGAGUGCGGCCCUGCGACACCUUGAGCUUGGAUGUCCAGCCUCCAGAAUGUACGAGAAUAAAUGUCUGUUGUUUUAAGCGUC
rnacentral:lncRNA from 1 species